rnacentral:rRNA from 1 species
UACCUGCAGCUCAAGUGGUGACCACUAUUAUUGGGCCUAAAACGUUCGUAGCCGGUUUAUUAAAUGCUUGGGUAAAUCGUGUAGCUUAACUAUACGAAUUCCGGGUAGACUGAUAGACUUGAGACCGGGAGAAGCUAGAGGUACUCCUGGGGUAGAGGUGAAAUUCUGUAAUCCUGGGGGGACCACCAGUGGCGAAGGCGUCUAGCUAGAACGGGUCUGACGGUGAGGAACGAAGCCCUGGGGCGCAAACCGGAUUAGAUACCCGGGUAGUCCAGGGUGUAAACGCUGCUUGCUUGAUGUUAGUUGGGCUCCGAGCCCAAUUAGUGUCGGAGAGAAGUUGUUAAGCAAGCUGCCUGGGAAGUACGAUCGCAAGAUUGAAACUUAAAGGAAUUGGGCGGGGGAGCACAGCAACGGGUGGAGCGUGCGGUUU